rnacentral:rRNA from 1 species
GAUAAGCGCUGGCGGCGUGCCUAAUGCAUGCAAGUCGAACGGGCGAUCUUUGAUCGUGACCGUGGCGGACGGGUGAGGAGCACGUAGCUAACCUGCCCUGGUGUGGGGGAUAUCCUCCGGAAACGGAGUGUAAUACCGCAUGAGCUCAUGUUGGGGGACCAAGAUGAGGAAAGCCGUAAGGCGUACCAGGAGGGGGCUGCGUCCGAUUAGCUAGUUGGUGGGGUAACGGCUCACCAAGGCGAUGAUCGGUCGCUGGUCUGAGAGGACGAUCAGCCACACGGGGACUGAGACACGGCCCCGACUCCUACGGGAGGCAGCAGCAAGGAAUUUUCCACAAUGGGCGCAAGCCUGAUGGAGCAACGCCGCGUGGGGGAUGACGCACUUCGGUGUGUAAACCCCUUUUCGAGGGGACGAAGGCAAUGACGGUACCCUCGGAAUAAGGACCGGCUAACUACGUGCCAGCCGCCGCGGUAAUAC